rnacentral:rRNA from 1 species
AUUGAACGCUGGCGGCGUGCUUAACACAUGCAAGUCGAGCGGUAACAGGUGUAGCAAUACAUGCUGACGAGCGGCGAACGGGUGAGUAAUGUUUCGGAAUAUUCCUCGUAGUGGGGAAUAACCUGGGGAAAGUAAGGCUAUUACCGCAUACGAACUAGGGUUGAAAGCAGGGGCUAGCAAGACCUCACGCUACGAGACGAGCGGAAGUCGGAUUAGCUAGUUGGUGGGGUAAAGGCUCACCAAGGCGACGAUCCGUAGCCGGUCUGAGAGGACGACCAGCCACACUGGGACUGAGACACGGCCCAGACUCCUACGGGAGGCAGCAGUGGGGAAUAUUGGACAAUGGGGGCAACCCUGAUCCAGCAACGCCGCGUGUGUGAAGAAGGCCUGCGGGUUGUAAAGCACUUUUAGUGGGGAUGAAAAGCCGAAGGCUAAUACCUUUCGGUCUUGACCUAACCCAAAGAAAAAGCACCGGCUAACUCUGUGCCAGCCGCCGCAGUAA